rnacentral:misc_RNA from 1 species
CAGUACGGGGGCAGCAGCGUCGACACAUGGGUGUUGUCGAGCCAGCCGACGUCGACCUUCACGCUGCUGCCUUCGCCGAU